rnacentral:rRNA from 1 species
GACGAACGCUGGCGGCGCGCUUAACACAUGCAAGUCGAGCGAGAACCGAGGCUUCGGCUUCGGGGACAGCGGCGAACGGGUGAGUAACACGUGGAUAACCUGCCCUCGGCACCGGGAUAGCCCGAGGAAACUCGGAUUAAUACCGGAUAGCCCUUUCGACUUUCGAGUCGGUCCGAAAAGGUAGCUUCGGCCUCUGGCCGAGGAUGGGUCCGCGGCGGAUUAGCUUGUUGGUGGGGAAUGGCCUACCAAGGCUACGAUCCGUAGCUGGUCU